CAAGAUGUAGCUAAACGUAAAGCAUUCAGCUUACACCUGAAAGAUAUCUGCCUUCUACCGGAUCAUCUUGA
rnacentral:tRNA from 1 species